AAAGUUUGCAUCACUUCUCCAGAACCAUCUAAAGAAGACUCCAUUUUGAUCUCUCAUGUCCCUCCUAAGCUUUAUUUCUCAAAUAACUACCAUAACUCUGCAUGAAACCAAUAAAUCUGGCCUUUAAUCCUCCAUUUGCAGCCCUUUGUUUCAUAUCCUUUACCGCAGCUUCCGUAGCUUGUGCUGGUAUUGGAAGUGGAACUUGAUCCAUAGCCAGCUUUAAAGAGACCGUAUUUGUUGCCGGAGUCAAGCCUGCCACUCGCACUGUAGUUGACUCAGCUAGUCUGUUGAAGGUCUCAGAGGAAUCAAAUCCGGGAAGCGAUAGGCUGAUUAAAUUCCGUCACUAGCUCCAAAUGGUUUAUAGCUGGACCUGUUAGAAGGCUCUGUACUUCAUAAAGCAGAAUUGUAGAGAGGUAAAGGGUCUUCCUUCAUCAUCGCGAGCUAUCCAUGCAAUAGAACCUCUGUUUUUACAUGAAUCCAUUACUUCAUCAAAGUUAAAUUUCGUAACAUUCUUCAGAGGUGGUUUCCAAAUUGAAGGUUGAGAGGGAGAACGAGAUUUAUGGACUGCGUGUUGUAGGCUUUGUUGUGCCAAAAGAAACUCGUCUAAGCUAGUUAUGAUAGUUUAUAAGCUCUAUUCAACAUAAUGCUGGAGAAUUGCCAUUCAAUAAAGAAGAUUGUAGCAUAAGGGGAGAGAUAAUCCAAACCGGCGAGGCUUGCGGAUAGGUGAAGAAAAGAUGGAAAAGAUGGAUAACUGACUCAGGUUCUCCACAAAAUUUACACAUUUCAUCUCGGAGUAAGAUUUUAUGUAGGCGUUCAUUGGUUGGCAAACGAUCCUAUAGAAACUUCCAGAUGAAGAUCGAAAUUUUUGGUGGGAGCUUGAAAGCCCAAAGAUUUUUCAAGCUUGCUCUGGGACUAAGGAGGUAUGACUAAUUGAGGGCCUCAAGGAUAUCUAGGAGAUAGAUGAAUUCAUAUUAAGAGCAACCCAAUAUCCAAAUUUGAUUGUAAGGUCUCGAGAAUUUAUGAAAUGCUAUACUCGCUCGUCUUCUUGACGAAAAAGAUUGAUUGGAAUGGCAAGAAUAUUUGGAAUCUACUCCUCUUCGAAAACUCUUUGAAGUUUUUGAAUGUCCCAAGCAUUUAAGGAGGUAUCUAUCAACUAACGGACCUAAUGCAGCAUUAGAUUAGCAUUAUGUUUGCAUCUUGGUAAAUUAGGGAAAGACUUUUGGAUUCAUCUAUUAAACUGACAUAAAAUUGAUCUCGUUCAUCGUUAACAUUCCAUCUAACCCCUUCUUUCUAGAAUUUGUAGUCCCCAUAAAAUACACUGCCAUAUCCACGAAGGUCUGGCUCCUUGGAACGCCUGCAUAUAAUCAGAAUGAGGGAAAUAUCUGCCUUUAAGAGUACAAGCCACAAGCGAGAAUAGAUUCUUUAAUAAGUUGCCACCCUUGUUUGGCGAGGAGUGCCAUGUUAAACAAUUUGAGGUCUCAGAAAUCCAUACUCCCUUUAAACUUUGGAUGACACAUACUAUGCCACGAUGCCCAAUGGAUCUUUUCACCAAAAAUUUGCCCUCAAGCUAUUGAUGGAUUGACAAAAGGUAGAAGGAAACCGGAAGCAACUCAUAGCAAAAAUCAGAAUGGCCACCGCCACUGCUUUAAUAAGAGUUUCUCUCUACCUCCUUGCAAGAGAAGGUUCCUUUUCCAACCUGCUAUCUUAUUUUGAAUUUUAGCCUAGAUAGAAGCAAAGGUCUGAGAUUUGGAUUUGGAAAUGAUAGUAGGAAGACCUAAAAAACUAUAGAGUCCUCCUAUAUUUGGAAUUUCUAACCAUGAAAAAAUCUCUUCUCUCACUUAAACUGGAGUAUUUGGACUAAAGAAGAUGGUUGACUUGACUAAGUUGACCAUUUGGCCGCUAGCUAUAGAGUAAUUCUGCAAUAUGCUUCUGACCUUUCUUGCUUCACUCAUAUUUGCCCUUGAAAAUUGAAUUGAAUCAUCUGCAAAGAGGAGGUGCUUGAUAGAUGGAAUUCUCUUAGAGAUAACAAUAUCUUCAAUAUCGAAUUGGUGAAUCGAGUGUGAAAGACCUUCGAUACAAAAGAGGUACUGGAAGGGUGAUAAAGGGUUGCCUUGACGAAGUCCUCUAGCCAAUUUAAUCAACUUGGAUCUAUACCCAUUUACUCGUACAAUGUAGGAGACUAUAGAGACACAUUCCAUAACCUAACUAAUCCAUUGUUGAUGAAAGCCCAAACACAUCAGCAUCUGCUUUAAGAAAGUCCAUUCCACAAUAUCAUAGGCCUUGUUGAUGUUCAAUUUUAGAGCAAAACCCCUCUUACCACCCUUACUACGAGUCUUAAGAUAAUGCAUGAUCUUAUGACUAAUGAUAAUAUUGUUUGAGAUCAAUCUCCCUUUAACAAAGGCAUUCUACUCGUUUGUGAUAAGAUGAGGCAUUAGAGGUUGAAGUCUAUGGGUAAGGACAUUAGAUAUAAUCUUGAAAAUAACAUUGAAAAGACUAAUAGGAUGAAGUCCUUCAUUGAAACCACACUUUUCGUUUUGGGGAUUAGAGUGAUUACCGUAUGAUUGACACUCCGAAGCAUCUUUCCACUCUCAAAGAAGUUCUUGACCGCAUAUAUUACCUCCUCUCCUAUAACAUGCUGAUAAUGCUGAAAGAAAUAGCCAGUCAUGCCAUCAUCUCCAGGUAGUUCCUCACCCGGGGGACCCAAGAGGGUGAUAUUUAAAGACAAACUUUGGGUUAAUGAUUCCGACAUCAUUAUGUUUGUCUUUUUGGAUAAGAGAGAGGGAGGUCCUUUGAUAAACAAGUUUAGUGGUAAAAUGGAAAGAGAGUUUGAGGACAAUUUGUUUGGAUUGCUAUUGGGUGUAAAAGGGAGUAAGGCGAGAACUGGAUUACUAGCAGAAAUGGAAAUGGUUGGUUGUGGGGUCUAGAUCUGGGAAGUGGUAAACUCAGAUCGUGAAGAAGUGAAGACUUGCUUGGCCGUCAACAUUGGAGUUGGUAACAACCAUGGCAUAAUUGUGGGUUCAUAAAGUUUACUCUUCGAAGAAGCCUCUCCUUGGUUCAAUGUCCCAGAGGCAUUGAUUUUCCCUGUUCUGAUUAAGGUUGUGGCUUUCAUCCAAUUACCGAACUUGUUUCUACCCUCCCUCAAGCAUGUUCCUUGCUCAGCUAAUUAAACAAUACAAAUUUUAUUGAGGUGGCCCAUCACUCUGCACUUGUAACAUAGGUCUGACAUUUUCUUAUAUUUAAUAGUCACCCAAGAAAUAUUCCCAUCUGGUUUCUUACUAUGGAACUCUGGACAUAGAGGCUUUUUAAUGAAGACAUUAAUUCUAAUUCGAAGAAAAUUAGAAUAGCCUAUUUGUUCAUAGUAGGUAAGAUCCAUUUCAAGAAAUUCCCCCACUAGGUUGCCAAUCGCUUUAAAGCUGAUUAAUUUGAUUAAGGGCCAAAUCAUACGCUUGAAUCCAGAAG